UAUAAUUAAGCGUAAAAAAUAAAUAAGAAAUGGGCGAUAGCCCCAAUGGUUAAAGCAUUAGUUUCCCCCUUGUGAACCCCAAUUUGAGCCUCCACCUCUUUUUCCCCUUUCAUUUUAAUUUUAAAUUUUGGAAAAAUCUUGGGAAAAUUGCAGGUAACGUCGCUAGGGUUUACAAACCCUAGAAAUUAAAUGAAUUCUUUUCCUAAUUAGAAUUCACAAUUUGCUCCUUCUCAAAAUUCCAAUAGAAUUGGAAUUCCACCACAUCUUUUUCUUCUUUUCCUAAUUAGAUUUUCAUUUUGCCCAUUUUCAAAUCCUAAUAGAAUUUUCU
rnacentral:lncRNA from 1 species